rnacentral:rRNA from 1 species
GAUGAACGCUGGCGGCGUGCCUAAUACAUGCAAGUCGAGCGAAUGGAUUAAGAGCUUGCUCUUAUGAAGUUAGCGGCGGACGGGUGGGUAACACGUGGGUAACCUGCCCAUAAGACUGGGAUAACUCCGGGAAACCGGGGCUAAUACCGGAUAACAUUUUGAACCGCAUGGUUCGAAAUUGAAAGGCGGCUUCGGCUGUCACUUAUGGAUGGACCCGCGUCGCAUUAGCUAGUUGGUGAGGUAACGGCUCACCAAGGCAACGAUGCGAAGCCGACCUGAGAGGGUGAUCGGCCACACUGGGACUGAGACACGGCCCAGACUCCUACGGGAGGCAGCAGUAGGGAAUCUUCCGCAAUGGACGAAAGUCUGACGGAGCAACGCCGCGUGAGUGAUGAAGGCUUUCGGGUCGUAAAACCCUGUUGUUAGGGAAGAACAAGUGCUAGUUGAAUAAGCUGGCACCUUGACGGUACCUAACCAGAAAGCCACGGCUAACUUCGUGCCAGCCGCCGCGGUAA